AUAUGAGAGUUAGUUAAAAGGGGUACAGCCCUUUUAACAAAGGAUACAACCUUUACAGGAGGAUAAAGAUCAUAACAUAUAAAACAUACUGUUUUAGUGGGCCUAAAAGCAGCCACCUAAAUAGAAAGCGUUAAAGCUCAGACAGAAAGAAGUUUAUUAUACCGAUAAAAAAUCUUAUUCCCCUAAUUAUAUCAGACUAACCCAUGCCUACAUGGAAGAGAUUAUGCUAGAAUGAGUAACAAGAAGACCUGCGCUUCUCCUUGCACAAGUGUAAACCAGAUCGGACAAACCACUGGAACUUAACGAACCCAACCCAAGAGGGCAAUGUGAGCAACAAAAACCUCAAGAAGAACUCACAAUCAUAAUAAUCGUUAACCCUACACUGGAGUGCCAUUUUAUAAAGGAAAGACUAAAAGAUAAGGAAGGAACUCGGCAAACACAAGCCUCGCCUGUUUACCAAAAACAUCGCCUCCUGCGACUAGAUUGAGUAUAGGAGGUCCAGCCUGCCCAGUGACUACGGGUUCAACGGCCGCGGUAUUUUGACCGUGCAAAGGUAGCGCAAUCACUUGUCUCUUAAAUAGAGACCUGUAUGAA
rnacentral:rRNA from 1 species